GCUGGGCAUAGUGGUGCAUGCCUGUAGUUCCCGCUACUCUGGGGGCUGAGGUGGGAGGAUCACUUGAGCCUGGGAGUUCAAGGCUGCAGUGAGCUAUGAUGGUGCCACUGUACUCCAGCCUGGGCAACACAGUGAGACCCUGUCUCAA
rnacentral:SRP_RNA from 1 species